AACGAACGCUGGCGGCAUGCCUAACACAUGCAAGUCGAACGGAGGCUUCGGCCUUGGUGGCGCACGGGUGCGUGGCGCGGGGGAAUCUGCCCUUGGCUUCGGCAUAACAGUUAGAAAUGACUGCUAAUACCGGAGGAUGUCGCACGACCAACGAUUUGUCGGCAAAGGAUGAGCGCGCGUGGGAUUAGCUAGAUGGUGGGGUAAAGGCCUAUCAAGGCGACGAUCGUUAGCUGGUCAGAGAGGCAGAGCCGCCACACUGGGACUGAGACACGGCCCAGAAUCCUACGGGAGGCAGCAGUGGGUAAUAUUGCACAGUGGGCUAAAGCCUGAAGCAGCAAGGCCGCGUGAGUGAUGAAGGCCUGAGGGAUGUAAAGCCGGUUUAUACGCGAUGAUAAUGACAGUACCGGGAGAAUAAGCACCGGCUAACUCCGUG
rnacentral:rRNA from 1 species